CGCAAUGGACGAAAGUCUGACGGAGCAACGCCGCGUGAACGAAGAAGGCCUUCGGGUCGUAAAGUUCUGUUGUUAGGGAAGAACAAGUACCAGAGUAACUGCUGGUACCUUGACGGUACCUAACCAGAAAGCCACGGCUAACUACGUGCCAGCAG
rnacentral:rRNA from 1 species